GGGUUGUGAGGUUAAGCGACUAAGCGUACACGGUGGAUGCCCUGGCAGUCAGAGGCGAUGAAGGACGUGCUAAUCUGCGAUAAGCGUCGGUAAGGUGAUAUGAACCGUUAUAACCGGCGAUUUCCGAAUGGGGAAACCCAGUGUGUUUCGACACACUAUCAUUAACUGAAUCCAUAGGUUAAUGAGGCGAACCGGGGGAACUGAAACAUCUAAGUACCCCGAGGAAAAGAAAUCAACCGAGAUUCCCCCAGUAGCGGCGAGCGAACGGGGAGCAGCCCAGAGCCUGAAUCAGUGUGUGUGUUAGUGGAAGCGUCUGGAAAGGCGCGCGAUACAGGGUGACAGCCCCGUACACAAAAAUGCACAUGCUGUGAGCUCGAUGAGUAGGGCGGGACACGUGGUAUCCUGUCUGAAUAUGGGGGGACCAUCCUCCAAGGCUAAAUACUCCUGACUGACCGAUAGUGAACCAGUACCGUGAGGGAAAGGCGAAAAGAACCCCGGCGAGGGGAGUGAAAAAGAACCUGAAACCGUGUACGUACAAGCAGUGGGAGCACGCUUCGGCGUGUGACUGCGUACCUUUUGUAUAAUGGGUCAGCGACUUAUAUUCUGUAGCAAGGUUAACCGAAUAGGGGAGCCGAAGGGAAACCGAGUCUUAACUGGGCGUUAAGUUGCAGGGUAUAGACCCGAAACCCGGUGAUCUAGCCAUGGGCAGGUUGAAGGUUGGGUAACACUAACUGGAGGACCGAACCGACUAAUGUUGAAAAAUUAGCGGAUGACUUGUGGCUGGGGGUGAAAGGCCAAUCAAACCGGGAGAUAGCUGGUUCUCCCCGAAAGCUAUUUAGGUAGCGCCUCGUGAAUUCAUCUCCGGGGGUAGAGCACUGUUUCGGCAAGGGGGUCAUCCCGACUUACCAACCCGAUGCAAACUGCGAAUACCGGAGAAUGUUAUCACGGGAGACACACGGCGGGUGCUAACGUCCGUCGUGAAGAGGGAAACAACCCAGACCGCCAGCUAAGGUCCCAAAGUCAUGGUUAAGUGGGAAACGAUGUGGGAAGGCCCAGACAGCCAGGAUGUUGGCUUAGAAGCAGCCAUCAUUUAAAGAAAGCGUAAUAGCUCACUGGUCGAGUCGGCCUGCGCGGAAGAUGUAACGGGGCUAAACCAUGCACCGAAGCUGCGGCAGCGACGCUGAUGCGUUGUUGGGUAGGGGAGCGUUCUGUAAGCCUGUGAAGGUGUGCUGUGAGGCAUGCUGGAGGUAUCAGAAGUGCGAAUGCUGACAUAAGUAACGAUAAAGCGGGUGAAAAGCCCGCUCGCCGGAAGACCAAGGGUUCCUGUCCAACGUUAAUCGGGGCAGGGUGAGUCGACCCCUAAGGCGAGGCCGAAAGGCGUAGUCGAUGGGAAACAGGUUAAUAUUCCUGUACUUGGUGUUACUGCGAAGGGGGGACGGAGAAGGCUAUGUUGGCCGGGCGACGGUUGUCCCGGUUUAAGCGUGUAGGCUGGUUUUCCAGGCAAAUCCGGAAAAUCAAGGCUGAGGCGUGAUGACGAGGCACUACGGUGCUGAAGCAACAAAUGCCCUGCUUCCAGGAAAAGCCUCUAAGCAUCAGGUAACAUCAAAUCGUACCCCAAACCGACACAGGUGGUCAGGUAGAGAAUACCAAGGCGCUUGAGAGAACUCGGGUGAAGGAACUAGGCAAAAUGGUGCCGUAACUUCGGGAGAAGGCACGCUGAUAUGUAGGUGAAGUCCCUCGCGGAUGGAGCUGAAAUCAGUCGAAGAUACCAGCUGGCUGCAACUGUUUAUUAAAAACACAGCACUGUGCAAACACGAAAGUGGACGUAUACGGUGUGACGCCUGCCCGGUGCCGGAAGGUUAAUUGAUGGGGUCAGCGCAAGCGAAGCUCUUGAUCGAAGCCCCGGUAAACGGCGGCCGUAACUAUAACGGUCCUAAGGUAGCGAAAUUCCUUGUCGGGUAAGUUCCGACCUGCACGAAUGGCGUAAUGAUGGCCAGGCUGUCUCCACCCGAGACUCAGUGAAAUUGAACUCGCUGUGAAGAUGCAGUGUACCCGCGGCAAGACGGAAAGACCCCGUGAACCUUUACUAUAGCUUGACACUGAACAUUGAGCCUUGAUGUGUAGGAUAGGUGGGAGGCUUUGAAGUGUGGACGCCAGUCUGCAUGGAGCCGACCUUGAAAUACCACCCUUUAAUGUUUGAUGUUCUAACGUUGACCCGUAAUCCGGGUUGCGGACAGUGUCUGGUGGGUAGUUUGACUGGGGCGGUCUCCUCCUAAAGAGUAACGGAGGAGCACGAAGGUUGGCUAAUCCUGGUCGGACAUCAGGAGGUUAGUGCAAUGGCAUAAGCCAGCUUGACUGCGAGCGUGACGGCGCGAGCAGGUGCGAAAGCAGGUCAUAGUGAUCCGGUGGUUCUGAAUGGAAGGGCCAUCGCUCAACGGAUAAAAGGUACUCCGGGGAUAACAGGCUGAUACCGCCCAAGAGUUCAUAUCGACGGCGGUGUUUGGCACCUCGAUGUCGGCUCAUCACAUCCUGGGGCUGAAGUAGGUCCCAAGGGUAUGGCUGUUCGCCAUUUAAAGUGGUACGCGAGCUGGGUUUAGAACGUCGUGAGACAGUUCGGUCCCUAUCUGCCGUGGGCGCUGGAGAACUGAGGGGGGCUGCUCCUAGUACGAGAGGACCGGAGUGGACGCAUCACUGGUGUUCGGGUUGUCAUGCCAAUGGCACUGCCCGGUAGCUAAAUGCGGAAGAGAUAAGUGCUGAAAGCAUCUAAGCACGAAACUUGCCCCGAGAUGAGUUCUCCCUGACCCUUUAAGGGUCCUGAAGGAACGUUGAAGACGACGACGUUGAUAGGCCGGGUGUGUAAGCGCAGCGAUGCGUUGAGCUAACCGGUACUAAUGAACCGUGAGGCUUAACCUUACAACGCCGAAGGUGUUU
rnacentral:rRNA from 1 species